AUAUAUGUACACACACACGUGUGUGUGUAUAUAUAUAUACACACACACGUGUGUGUGUGUGUAUAUAUA
rnacentral:pre_miRNA from 15 species